rnacentral:rRNA from 1 species
UACGGGGGGAGCAAGCGUUGUUCGGAUUUACUGGGCGUAAAGGGCGCGUAGGCGGUCAGCACAAGUCAGUUGUGAAAUCUCCGGGCUUAACUCGGAAAGGUCAACUGAUACUGUGCGACUAGAGUGCGGAAGGGGCAACUGGAAUUCUCGGUGUAGCGGUGAAAUGCGUAGAUAUCGAGAGGAACACCUGCGGCGAAGGCGGGUUGCUGGGCCAUCACUGACGCUGAGCUGCGAAAGCUAGGGGAGCAAACAGG